AUUACAAAUCAAAAGUCAUAAAUAUUUUGAAGGCAGAAACUCAAAACAGUAAAAUGUUUCAUUCAGUGAGGUUAUAUAAAAAAAUGCCGUGUGAAUUUACGGUGAAAAAUUGCAGUUCUCACAGCGAGUAAACGCUAAAUACCCAACCGAAGACACGGGCCCAGCAGUUGGUGUGUGUAAUUUGUCGUCAUUCGUAACGCCCAGCGAUAUUCCCCUGAUGUUUGCCACUUAGCAAAGGGUUCCGUAUCCAUUGCCAAUGUUUCGAGUACGAAUUCAAGCGAAUUUAUGUAGUGGAAGUGCGUAAAGAGAGUUUCAGCAGCUGAUAACCGUGGGAAAGGGAGAUAAUAGCAUAGACAUGUGAUUCGGAGAUCUCAAGCGGCAUAAUUAAAGAUGUUAUUAAAACAAGCUCUGGAACACUUUGCUGAAGUCGGCCUCUAAGGAUUGCGAACCCUCCGCUUGGGUAGACACAUUCAUCGUAUUCAAAGAAAAAGCUUCGGAUGUCAAAGAAGAAGCCUCUGAGGACUGCGAACCCUCCUUCUGGGUGGGCGAAUUCAACGUAUUCGAUCCAUUCGGCUGCUCAGGAUCAAGAUCCUUAAUAGAUCUUCCGUCAUUGGAAACUCGUUGUUUCCAGUUGGGCUUGCAUCUGCGUUUGGCAUCACUGGCAUUAUUGAAAUCAGUUGAGCUCUAGAGCUGGUUUCAGUUAACUGAGGAACCACCACCAUGCUCAACUGAAUUCACAAAUGGCAGAGAUGACAAACGCGCAUGCCAAUCCAGCUUGGAAACCACGAGUUCCCAGAGACGGAAGAUCUAUUAAGGAUCUUGAUCCUGAGCGGCCAAAUGGAUCGAAUACGAGUUCUUAAUGACGGAAGAUCUAUAAAGAUGAUGUAUAUAUAUUUCCUAAUCGAGGCUCUGCAAUACUACGCUGAAGUAUUCUUCGUCGAACGGAGAAGAUUCGGUUGUCAAAGAAGUAGCUUCUGUUGUCAAAAGAGGAGCCUCUGAGAACUGCAAACCCUCCUUCUGGGUGGGCGAAUUCAUCGUAUUCGAUCCAUUUGGCUGCUCGGGAUCCUCCGUUAUCAAGAACUUGUUGUUUCCAGCUGUUUCCAGUCAACAAAGGAGUGAUUUAAAAUACAAAAUUUAAGAUGAUAUCUAUAAGAUGAUUUAUUAAGAUGAUAUACAUAUAUAUUUCCUCAUCGAGGUCCUGGAAUACUUCUUUGAAGUAUUCUUUGUAGGUCUCUAAGGAUUGCGAACAAAUGCAUCGUAUUUAUAGAAGCUUCGGUUGUCAAAAAUGAAGCCUCUGAGAACUGCGAACCCUCCUUCUGGGUGGGCGAAUUCAUCGUAUUCGAUCCAUUUGUCUGCUCAGGAUCCUCCGUUAUCAAGAACUUGUUUUUUCCAUUUCUGAAUUCAGUUGAGGAGCUGUUUUUUGAGGCAAGUGGAGAAGAAGCUCAACACUUGCUAAGUAACCAAAACACCACCGAGUUCCUUAAUUCCUUAGAAAAAAGAACCUGUACAAUUUAAGUUAAAUCACAAAUAUCUCCAAAAUGUAUUAAACAUUUUAUAUAAAAAUAUGGAUGUGCAUAGUCGUAGGCCUCGUAGCCUACGCUCAUGUUAG